ensembl:lincRNA
CGAGUAUUACCCAGCUAGCUUGGGAUCCGUUUUGCGCAAAUCUCGUACGCUUUACGCGUCAUUUGUUUUAUUGGAAAGCGAUUAUACUUACGCUGCGCAAUCGAACUUUGCACUGAAAACAACUUCCAAGCUUAGCAUGGAAAAAACAACCCCUGGCAUCAGGGGUUUCCCUCGUGUCUUGCGGGUCUAGGUAUGGUCUUACAGUAAGACCACGACCACCUAAAAACACUAUUAAAAACGCAUGCUACCUCACGUACAGUGCACCACAGCAUAUAGGAACCACCAAGAAGCCUUCGUUUCCGGAGGGACGCGCUCUCCUGCGCCCUCUCUUCCGGUGAAGUAAUUGUAAACAAAAAAGUGAUUCGGGGCUUUUCUGUCAGAAGGCCGUGGGGAAGGUGGGGGGGGGACCGUUUUGUGUGCUACAACCGUGGGAAGAGUCUCGCUAUUUCAGCAAGGAGGAGUGUGCAAACGAUGAAACCCUCCUCAACUGGGUAGUCUAGGAGACGCGUACAUUAGCGGUCGGAUUUUUAUUAAUCAUCAAAAAGGUCGUUUCCAGCGUCUGGGGGAGAAACGAAUUAACCGGGGCUGCUCCGAGCCGCUCGGAUAUUUGACACCGGGCUGCUGGUGCGGGAAAUAUGGAGACGAAACCUGGUAUUCAAGUUAAAGAGGAAGUUCAGAUUAAAGAGGAAGUUCAAAUAAAAGAAGAAAAUACUGACCAGUACCCUGACCAGUUGAUAGAGAAUAUCGCUGAAGUUGAAUCUGUCAUCAUAAAAGAAGAGCCCGACGACAGCGAGGAGGACAGCCCUGAGUCGCUGCUGCUCGUCGGAGACGAGACCUCCGGCCUGCACCAAGCGCUGCUCGCCAGCAGGAAAAGUAUGUAACGUUUUUUUUUUCCCCCCAAAGAUUUUGUUCACAUGACUGCGUUUCAGAGAAACCCAGAAGACCCUGACAGCACGGGUCUCCACCUCUGGUCCUUAAGAGCCCCCAGUUCAGCCGGACUUGUAGCUCACUGUGAAAUCACUCGACCCGUUCAGCUUGUUUUGGUUCUGCAAGGAUCAAACUGAAUCAAACUCUCAUAAAUAAAAGUGUCAACAUUUCACUUCCUACAUUUAAACUCCUCAACGUGCUUAAAAACACACAAGCUUCGCUGCACCUUCAAACAUCUUACUUCUGUAUUGGCAUCAAUUUACGAUCCCUGGGAAUGCCAAGGUAUUUCAGAUUCAUUUAGGAUUUCAAAAUCGGUUCCGUGAAUAGCCACAGGAAUAGAACAUUUCUUUCAAAAAUCAGUUGUUUUAGUUGUGCUUAAAAACCAGCGCUGUCUCCUGAUGUCAAUGAUGAAAAAAGAUUCAUCCCCUGUCUGUAAUUGUAUUCGUCAUCAUUCAGACGUCCAGUCAGGGCUCCAUCAUCCACAUACUUGGUAAUUGCACAGAUGUCAGAGCGGCGUACACGAUCAUCAGUGUACAGUGUGAAAAGCAGUGGGGACAGCACGCACCCUUGGGGUACCCCUGUGCUGGUGCUGAUGGUGAGAGACGUCCCCGAGCUCACUCGCACAGACUGUUCCCAAUGAGUAAGAGAAUU